rnacentral:rRNA from 1 species
AUUGAACGCUGGCGGCAUGCUUUACACAUGCAAGUCGAACGGUAACAGGGUGCUUGCACCGCUGACGAGUGGCAAACGGGUGAGUAAUGCGUCGGAACGUGCCGAGUAGUGGGGGAUAACGCAGCGAAAGUUGUGCUAAUACCGCAUACGUACUGAGGUAGAAAGUGGGGGACCUUCGGGCCUCACGCUAUUCGAGCGGCCGACGUCUGAUUAGCUAGUAGGUGAGGUAAAGGCUCACCUAGGCGACGAUCAGUAGCGGGUCUGAGAGGAUGAUCCGCCACACUGGGACUGAGACACGGCCCAGACUCCUACGGGAGGCAGCAGUGGGGAAUUUUGGACAAUGGGCGAAAGCCUGAUCCAGCCAUGCCGCGUGUCUGAAGAAGGCCUUCGGGUUGUAAAGGACUUUUGUCAGGGAGGAAAUCCCUAGCGUUAAUACCGCUGGGGGAUGACAGUACCUGAAGAAUAAGCACCGGCUAACUACGUGCCAGCAGCCGCCGUAAUAC